AAUCAACGCUGGCGGCGCGCUUAACACAUGCAAGUCGAACGAGAAAGGGGAGCAAUCCCCGAGUAAAGUGGCGUACGGGUGAGUAACACGUGGGUAAUCUACCUCUGGGUGGGGAAUAACUCUGGGAAACCGGAGCUAAUACCGCAUAAGACCGAAAGGUGAAAGGAGCAAUUCGCCGAGAGAGGAGCCCGCGGCUGAUUAGCUGGAUGGUGGGGUAAAGGCCUACCAUGGCGCAGAUCAGUAGCCGGCCUGAGAGGGCACACGGCCACACUGGCACUGAAACACGGGCCAGACUCCUACGGGAGGCAGCAGUGGGGAAUCUUGCACAAUGGGGGAAACCCUGAUGCAGCGACGCCGCGUGAGCGAUGAAGCCCUUCGGGGUGUAAAGCUCUUUCGGCAGGGACGAUAAUGACGGUACCUGAAGAAGAAGCUGCGGCUAACUACGUGCCAGCAGCCGCGGUAAUACGUAGGCAGCGAGCGUUGUUCGGAGUUACUGGGCGUAAAGCGUGCGUAGGCGGUGGUCCAAGUCUGGUGUGAAAUCUCCCGGCUUAACUGGGAGGGUGCGCCGGAAACUGGGCCGCUGGAGUACGGGAGAGGCAAGCGGAAUUCCAGGUGUAGCGGUGAAAUGCGUAGAUAUCUGGAGGAACACCCGUGGUGCAGACGGCUUGCUGGACCGUGACUGACGCUGAGGCACGAAAGCGUGGGUAGCAAACAGGAUUAGAUACCCUGGUAGUCCACGCCCUAAACGAUGCAUACUUGGUGUGGGCAGUUCAGUCUGUCCGUGCCGAAGCUAACGCGAUAAGUAUGCCGCCUGGGGAGUACGGUCGCAAGGCUG
rnacentral:rRNA from 1 species